GGGAACAGAAAUUUGAAAGGGGAACAGAUAAACUGUGGUACUUCCAGACAAUAGAAUAUUGUUCAGCUUUAAAAGAAAUGAGAUAUGAGGGCUGAGGUUGUGGCUCAGUGGUGGAGUGCUCGCCUAGCAUUCGCAAAGCACUGGGUUCAAUCCUCAGCACCACAUAAAUGUAAAAUAAAUAUACUGUGUCCACCUAAAACUAAAAAACAAAUAUUAAAAAAAAAAAGAAGAAAUGAGGUCACAUGUGGUGGUGCAUGCCUGUAAUCCUAGCAACUCAGGAGGCUGAGGAAGGAGGAUUGUAAAUGCAAGGCCAGUCUUAGCAAUUUAGCAAGACUCUAUCUCAAAAUGAAAAAAAAAAAAAAAAGACUGGGGAUAUAGCUUGGAGCUAAAGCACCCCUGGGUUCAAUCCUUAGUACCAAAGAGGGAAAAAGAAAGAAAAAAAUGAGCUAUCAAGCCAAGAAAAGACGUGGAGGAACACUAAGUGCACAUUACCAUGUGAAAGAAGCCAACCUGAAAAGGCUACUUAGUGUGUAAUUCCAACUGUAUCACAUUUUGGAAAAGGUAAAACUAUAGACAGUAAAAAGAUCAACUACAUGUUUGAGGAGGAGGGAUAAACAGGAAAAUUACAGGAUUUUAGUGCAGUGAAACUGUUCUUUCAUGACAUGACAGGUGGAAACAUGUCUUUACACAUUUGUCAAAACCCACAGAAUAUACAACUCAGACAAUGAACCUUAAUGUAAACUAGGGACUUGGUUUGAUAUGUCAAUGUAGGUUCAAUGUCUGUAACAAAUAUACCAUUGUGGAACCUGAUGUUGAUAGUGGGGUAGGCUGGGUUAACUGGGGGAGACGAUGUGUGUGAAUUCUCUUUCUAUAAACUUGAAACAACUUUUAAAGAAUAAUUAUAAUAAUGAAAAAUUUGGCAUCAGAGUUUGGAAAUGGAAUUUGGGAGGUUUCCAGUUGAUUCCACCAUUUCCUUUUAUUUUCCCUGACUCACAUUUGUCUUUUACCUCUCUUGAUAGACCUCUUCAGUAGCUUAUUGAAAUCUCUCUUCCUCUGUUCCAUAUUCUCCCUUACUCUAUGCUGUGGGCUGAAUUGUACCUUUCCAAAUUCAUGCACUUUUUAAGUUCUA
rnacentral:lncRNA from 1 species